GGAAAGAUUCAUCGGUAUGGGAUGGGGUCGCGUCCUAUCAGCUUGAUGGCGGGGUAACGGCCCACCAUGGCUUCGACGGGUAGCCGGCCUGAGAGGGCGACCGGCCACAUUGGGACUGAGAUACGGCCCAGACUCCUACGGGAGGCAGCAGUGGGGAAUAUUGCACAAUGGGCGCAAGCCUGAUGCAGCGACGCCGCGUGCGGGAUGACGGCCUUCGGGUUGUAAACCGCUUUUGACUGGGAGCAAGCCCUUCGGGGUGAGUGUACCUUUCGAAUAAGCACCGGCUAACUACGUGCCAGCAGCCGCGGUAAUACGUAGGGUGCAAGCGUUAUCCGGAAUUAUUGGGCGUAAAGGGCUCGUAGGCGGUUCGUCGCGUCCGGUGUGAAAGUCCAUCGCUUAACGGUGGAUCCGCGCCGGGUACGGGCGGGCUUGAGUGCGGUAGGGGAGACUGGAAUUCCCGGUGUAACGGUGGAAUGUGUAGAUAUCGGAAAAGAACACCA
rnacentral:rRNA from 1 species